GUGCUCGCUUUGGCAGCACAUAUACUAAAAUUUGGACCGAUACAGAGAUUAGCAUGGCCCCUGUGCAAGGAUGACACGCAAAUUCAUGAAGCGUUCCAUAUUUAA